rnacentral:rRNA from 1 species
CCUACGGGAGGCAGCAGUGGGGAAUAUUGGGCAAUGGGCGCAAGCCUGACCCAGCAACGCCGCGUGAAGGAAGAAGGCUUUCGGGUUGUAAACUUCUUUUCUGAGGGACGAAGAAAGUGACGGUACCUCAGGAAUAAGCCACGGCUACCUACGUGCCAGCAGCCGCAGUAAUACGUAGGUGGCAAGCGUUAUCCGGAUUUAUUGGGUGUAAAGGGCGUGUAGGCGGGAAAUCAAGUCAGAUGUGAAAACUCAGGGCUCAACCCUGAGCCUGCAUUUGAAACUGUUUUUCUUGAGUGCUGGGGAGGCAAUCGGAAUUCCGGGUGUAGCGGUGAAAUGCGUGAAUAUACGGAGGAACACCAGUGGCGAAGGCGGAUUGCUGGACAGUAACUGACGCUGAGGCGCGAAAGCGUGGGGAGCAAACAGGAUUAGAUACCCGGGUGUC